rnacentral:rRNA from 1 species
UGUAAAGUUCAAGCUCCGAUUAUGAGGGCGAAACCGCGAAUGGCUCAUUAAAUCAGUCAUAAUCUACUUGAUUGUUUAAAGGUUAUAUGGAUAACUGUGGUAAUUCUAGAGCUAAUACAUGCACAAAAGGAGCGACUCGAGCAAUCGAGAAGCUCUGCGUUUAUUAGAUUAAGACCAAUGAUUGGCGCAAGCCUUUCUACGUCAAGGUGACUCUGAAUAAAUAAUGGGUGAAAGCCCAUGUUGCUGACCUGACAUACCAAAUAGGGCGCAAGCUCUAGUCAGGCAAAUCAAUCGAGUGUCUGCUCUAUCAACUGUGGAUGGUAGGGUAAUUGCCUACCAUGGUGAUGACGGGUAACGGGGAGUUAGGGCUCGACUCCGGAGAACAAGCCUGAGAAACGGCUAGUAGGACUAAGGUCUGCAGCAGGCGCGAAACUUACACAAUGCUAGAUUAAAAUUAGCGAUGUAGUGAAGAAAAAUAACGAUGUACUUUCAUCUACAAAUGAUAGUACAAUUGGAAUGAGACGACUAUAAACCAGUUAGUCGAGUAACAAAUGGAGGGCAAGUCUGGUGCCAGCAGCCGCGGUAAUUCCAGCUCCAUUAGCAUACAUUAAAGUUGUUGCGGUUAAAAAGCUCGUAGUUGAAUUUUAGGCGGGCUCUAUUGGAUUGCAAUCGUUAAGACUAUCUUGCUCCGGCUUGAUUAGUUGGUUGUAUCAUCCUAUAGGAACCCGCUGUUUCGUCACUUAAUUGAGUGCGAAGCGGGCUGAAACAUUUGCUUAACCUCCGCGGUUGCAUUGUUCCAGCAAGUUUACCUUGAGAAAAUUAGAGUGCUCACAGCAGGCAGUUGGGGCGUAAAAACCCCUUUAUGCUUGGAUAAUGUUGCAUGGAAUAAUAGAAUACGGCCUCGGUUCUAUUCUGUUGGUCUUAUAGAACAACAAACAAGUUGGUUAAAGCGACAAAAAGUUCGUUUGUGAGUGUGGCUUCAAGGGCCUUUCAUUUAGUUUUGCACUUACUAGUUGCGUUGUGUUGCCUAGGGCCUUAAAAUCUUAGUGCCGCGCGCUUCUAACCAAGUCAAUUCUUGUGUUUGUUGCCCUUAAAGUCAUUUAAAGCACUCCUAAUUGGGCUAGCUUUCUAAUCAACUGAGGCAAUGGUUAAAAGAAAUAGUCGCGGCGGCAUCAGUACUGCAUCGUGAGAGGUGAAAUUCUUAGACCGAUGCAAGACUAACUGAAGCGAAAGCGUUUGCCGAGGAUAUUUUCAUUAAUCAAGAACGAAAGUUAGAGGUUCGAAGGCGAUCAGAUACCGCCCUAGUUCUAACCAUAAACGUUGCCAACUAGCAAUUGGGUUGCGAUUCCUUUAAUCGAAGCGUAAAAAACUUCGAUCAUUAUGAUCCACCCAGCGGCUCUCGUAGGGAAACCAAAGUGUUUGGGUUCCGGGGGAAGUAUGAUUGCAAAGUUGAAACUUAAAGGAAUUGACGGAAGGGCACCACCAGGAGUGGAGCCUGCGGCUUAAUUUGACUCAACACGGGGAAACUUACUAGAUUAGAACUCUGGAAUGAUUGACAGAUUGAUAGCUCUUUCUUGAUUCAGAGGAUGGUGGUGCAUGGCCGUUCUUGAUUCGUAUUCCGAAACGUCUGCUUAAUUGCGAUAACGAGUGAGACCUCACCCAACUAACUAGUCGUUUGGUGCGCUGUGGGACGCAAAAGUUCCUGUAGGAUUUGUAUUAGGGUUGGCAGAAAUGUUAGCUCUAGUGCUGCCUGCGUGGAAUGUCCUCUGCUCGCCAGCGGACUUCUUAGAGGGAUAAACGGUGUUUUAGCCGUAAGAAACGAG